GGGUUGCAGUGAAAUGGUGGCUGCGACUGUUUAAUAAAAACACAGCACUCUGCAAACACGAAAGUGGACGUAUAGGGUGUGACGCCUGCCCGGUGCCGGAAGGUUAAUUGAUGGGGUGCAAGCUCUUGAUCGAAGCCCCGGUAAACGGCGGCCGUAACUAUAACGGUCCUAAGGUAGCGAAAUUCCUUGUCGGGUAAGUUCCGACCUGCACGAAUGGCGUAACGAUGGCCACACUGUCUCCUCCUGAGACUCAGCGAAGUUGAAAUGGUUGUGAAGAUGCAAUCUCCCCGCGGUUAGACGGAAAGACCCCAUGAACCUUUACUGUAGCUUUGCAUUGGACUUUGAACCGACCUGUGUAGGAUAGGUGGGAGGCUGUGAAUCCGGGACGCUAGUUCUGGUGGAGCCAACCUUGAAAUACCACCCUGGUUUGUUUGAGGUUCUAACCACGGCCCGUGAAUCCGGGUCUGGGACCGUGCAUGGUAGGCAGUUUGACUGGGGCGGUCUCCUCCUAAAGUGUAACGGAGGAGUACGAAGGUACGCUAGGUACGGUCGGAAAUCGUGCUGAUAGUGCAAUGGCAAAAGCGUGCUUGACUGCGAGACCCACACGUCGAGCAGGUACGAAAGUAGGUCAUAGUGAUCCGGUGGUUCUGUAUGGAAGGGCCAUCGCUCAACGGAUAAAAGGUACUCUGGGGAUAACAGGCUGAUACCGCCCAAGAGUUCAUAUCGACGGCGGUGUUUGGCACCUCGAUGUCGGCUCAUCACAUCCUGGGGCUGUAGUCGGUCCCAAGGGUAUGGCUGUUCGCCAUUUAAAGUGGUACGUGAGCUGGGUUUAAAACGUCGUGAGACAGUUUGGUCCCUAUCUGCCGUGGGCGCUGGAAAUUUGAAGGGGGCUGCUCCUAGUACGAGAGGACCGGAGUGGACGAACCUCUGGUGUACCGGUUAUGACGCCAGUCGUAUCGCCGGGUAGCUAAGUUCGGAAGAGAUAAACGCUGAAAGCAUCUAAGCGUGAAACUCGCCUUAAGAUGAGAUUUCCCCGGGGACUCGAUCCCCCUAAAGGGUCGUGGUAGACCACCACGUUGAUAGGCUGGAUGUGGAAGCGCAGCAAUGCGUUAAGCUAACCAGUACUAAUCGCCCGUGCGGCUUGAUCCU
rnacentral:rRNA from 1 species